GAGCUGUCUGUGUGUGCUUCUGGAGUGUAUCUCUGUGUGUGGUGCGGGAGUGUGUAUCUGUGUAAGUGACAGUGUGUUUAUCUCAUAAUGUGUACGUGUGUGUGUGUUUUUGUGAGUAUGUAAGUAAGAGUGUGUGUAUGUGAGGCAAUGUGGGAGUAUAUAUGUGGGUGUAUCUGGGAGAUUGUGUUGAGGGUGUAUCAGUCAGUGGAUUUAUAAAAGACCCCACAAAUUCCGAUGGCAGCUCAUGGUCAAUCUCCCCAUCUUUCUCCCACCACCAUUAUGCACUGGCCUCACUCCCACCACU